rnacentral:sRNA from 1 species
AGAAAUUAUAAAUAAUGUGACUUAGUUCACACUCACACUAGUGUGCCUACUGGAGUAACUCAAGCAGAGUGAGAAUAACUACACACUUCACACGGCCAUGAUCACUCUUGCACUUACUGGGACUGUAGUUCUACUAGCAGUCUUUGCCUUCUACAAGUACAUGACCGCCAAUCAUGGAGUCUUCAAGAAAAUGGGCAUUGAACAUCCGCCGACUUCAUGGUUCUUCGGGAACUUUAACCUGGCCAUAAAGUAUGGCGUCUUUGAAGCUCAGAAGAUCUUCUACAAUAAAUACA